AUGUCGCAAGCUCUUAACUUCUUCGUUUCCUCGUCUUCACGUUCUCCGGCGACUUUCACAAUCUCAAGGCCGUCGGUUUUCCCGUCAACCGGUAGUUUACGGUUACUGGUGAAGAAAUCGUUGCGGACGUUAGUUGUGGAAGCGUCGUCGGCGGCGGCGUCAGAUCUCGACGAGCCGCAGUAGUCCCCGGUGUUAGUAUCGGAGAAUGGUUCAGGAGGGGUAUUAUCGAGUGCGACGCAGGAGUACGGUCGUAAUGCUGCACCGGGGACCGAUUCGAGUUCGAUUGAAGUGGAUACAGUAACGGAGGCGGAGUUAAAGGAGAACGGGUUUAGGAGUACACGUAGAACAAAGUUGAUUUGCACGAUUGGACCUGCCACGUGUGGGUUUGAGCAGCUGGAAGCAUUAGCUGAGGGAGGAAUGAAUGUAGCUAGGAUAAAUAUGUGCCAUGGAACACGCGAGUGGCAUCGUAUGGUGAUUGAGAGACUGAGGAGGUUGAAUGAGGAGAAAGGGUUUGCUGUAGCUAUCAUGAUGGAUACUGAAGGUAGUGAAAUUCAUAUGGGAGAUCUUGGUGGCGCUUCUUCUGCUAAAGCUGAGGAUGGUGAAAUUUGGAAUCUCACUGUUCGUUCAUUUGAUCCACCACUCCCAGAACGCACCGUUACUGUUAACUAUGAUGGCUUUGCUGAAGAUGUGAAAGUGGGUGAUGAGCUACUAGUAGAUGGUGGAAUGGUGAGAUUUGAAGUGAUUGAGAAAAUUGGCCCAGAUGUUAAGUGUCUUUGCACAGAUCCUGGACUUCUUCUACCUCGGGCUAAUCUGACAUUUUGGCGGGAUGGUAAACUAGUAAGGGAACGCAAUGCCAUGCUUCCAACAAUUUCCUCAAAGGAUUGGCUAGACAUAGACUUUGGUAUUGCUGAGGGUGUUGAUUUUAUUGCUGUAUCAUUUGUCAAGUCUGCUGAAGUCAUUAAGCAUCUUAAGAGCUACAUUCAAGCCCGGGCUCGGGAUAGUGAUAUUUCUGUAAUUGCAAAAAUAGAGAGCAUUGACUCAUUGAAGAACUUAGAAGAGAUAAUCCAGGCAUCAGAUGGUGCUAUGGUCGCGAGAGGAGAUCUUGGUGCUCAAAUUCCAUUAGAACAGGUUCCAUCAGAGCAGCAAAAGAUUGUUCAGAUAUGCAGGCAGCUGAAUAGGCCUGUUAUAGUAGCCUCCCAGCUGCUGGAAUCUAUGAUUGAAUACCCUAUUCCAACUAGAGCUGAAGUUGCUGAUGUUUCUGAAGCAGUUAGGCAAAGGGGGGAUGCUUUGAUGCUUUCUGGUGAGUCGGCCAUGGGACAGUUUCCUGAGAAGGCAUUGACUGUACUAAGAAGUGUUAGCUUGAGAAUUGAAAGAAUGUGGAGGGAACAGAAACGCCAUGAAGUUAUUGAAUUGCCAUCCAUAGCAUCUUCAUUUUCAGAUAGUAUUUCAGAAGAGAUCUGCAACUCUGCCGCCAAGAUGGCAAACAAUUUGGAAGUUGAUGCUCUUUUUGUUUACACCAAGAAUGGGCACAUGGCAUCUCUCUUGUCACGCUGCCGUCCUGACUGCCCAAUAUUUGCAUUUACAACGACAACAUCUGUACGCAGACGCCUGAACCUGCAAUGGGGUCUAAUGCCUUUCCGCUUGAGUUUCUCCGAUGAUAUGGAAAGCAACCUCAACAAGACAUUCUCUUUACUAAAAGCUCGGGGCAUGAUCAAGUCAGGUGACCUCAUCAUUGCUGUUUCCGACAUGCUGCAGUCCAUUCAAGUUAUGAAUGUUCCAUGAGUGCACAUAUUAGUUCUGUGUUUUGAGUUUUGAGCUAGGCAACCCCAAUUAUAUGCCAAUUAAACCAAUUAUGAAGUUCAACAGUUGGUUCUGCUAGGGAGUAAAACAACGACGAGCAAUCCUUCCUCAGUGUGUCCUCGUUUCAGGUGCUGGACUUCAAUGACAUUUGGUGUAACUCAACUGUCGCUUGUAGUCAACACAGAUAUGUUGCAAUGUAUACCCCCUGUUUUCCUAGGAUUUGGAUGUAUCUUCUGCUUGAGUUAUUGAUCUAGAAAUGAGCCUUAGAAAUGAUCGUGAUAAUUAUGGAUUUGUUCUUAGAAUUGCUAUUAGCGUGCUGUCUUUGGUGUUUUUUUAAUGAUCUAUCGGUUUGAAUUACCUUUUGGAGAUUUGUUUAAUAUCAUUUGGCCUAAAUAGAUUGUUCAUCUGAUUGACA